UGAGCAACCUACCGAACCGUGGGGAUAGCCGGCCUAACGGCCGAGUAAUACCUCAUACGCUCUCAGGGAGGCAUUUCUUUGAGAGGAAACCUACGGGACAGAUCGAGGGCUCGCGGCCUAUCAGCUAGUUGGCGAGGUAACGGCUCACCAAGGCAACGACGGGUAGCUGGUCUGAGAGGAUGGCCAGCCACAUUGGAACUGAGACACGGCCCAGACUCCUACGGGAGCAG
rnacentral:rRNA from 1 species